rnacentral:rRNA from 1 species
GAACGGCAGCAUGGUUUGUAGCAAUACGAACUGAUGGCGAGUGGCGGACGGGUGAGAAACGCGUAGGAAUCUGCCUUGUAGAGGGGGACAACUGGAGGAAACUCCAGCUAAUACCGCAUAAAGUCGAGAGACCAAAGGCUGGGGCAACCUGGCGCUAUGAGAGGAGCCUGCGUCCGAUUAGCUAGUUGGUAGGGUAAAGGCCUACCAAGGCGAUGAUCGGUAGCUGGUCUGAGAGGAUGAUCAGCCACACUGGGACUGAGACACGGCCCAGACUCCUACGGGAGGCAGCAGUGGGGAAUAUUGGACAAUGGGGGGCAACCCUGAUCCAGCAAUACCGCGUGUGUGAAGAAGGCCUUCGGGUUGUAAAGCACUUUAGGUUGGGAAGAAGGUGCGUAGUUUAAGAGAUGACGCAUUUGACGGUACCGACAGAAUAAGCACCGGCUAACUCUGUGCCAGCAGCCGCGGUAAUACAGAGGGUGCAAGCGUUAAUCGGAGUUACUGGGCGUAAAGGGCGCGUAGGUGGUUGUUUAAGUGAGACGUGAAAGCCCCGGGCUUAACCUGGGAACGGCGUCUUAUACUGGAUGACUGGAGUACUGUAGAGGGUAGUGGAAUUUCCGGUGUAGCAGUGAAAUGCGUAGAGAUCGGAAGGAACACCAGUGGCGAAGGCGGCUACCUGGACAGAUACUGACACUGAGGCGCGAAAGCGUGGGGAGCAAACA